AGAGUUUGAUCAUGGCUCAGGAUGAACGCUGGCGGCGUGCCUAAUACAUGCAAGUCGAACGAAGAGAGAAGCUUGCUUCUCUUUUAGUGGCGAACGGGUGAGUAAUACAUAAGCAACCUACCCAUUCGACCGGGAUAACAGUUGGAAACGACUGCUAAUACCGGAUAGGUGACCGGGGGACAUCCCCUGAUCAUUAAAGCUGGGACACAGCACGAAUGGAUGGGCUUAUGGCGCAUUAGUUAGUUGGCGGGGUAACGGCCCACCAAGACGAUGAUGCGUAGCCGACCUGAGAGGGUGACCGGCCACACUGGGACUGAGACACGGCCCAGACUCCUACGGGAGGCAGCAGUAGGGAAUUUUCGGCAAUGGGCGCAAGCCUGACCGAGCAACGCCGCGUGAGUGAAGAAGGCCUUCGGGUUGUAAAGCUCUGUUGUAAGGGAAGAAUGGCCAAGAGAGGGAAUGCUCUUGGAGUGACGGUACCUUACCAGAAAGCCACGGCUAACUACGUGCCAGCAGCCGCGGUAAUACGUAGGUGGCAAGCGUUAUCCGGAAUUAUUGGGCGUAAAGGGAGCGUAGGCGGUUUGAUAAGUCUGAGGUGAAAGUUCGGGGCUCAACUCCGGAUUGCCUUAGAAACUGUCAGACUAGAGUGCAGGAGAGGGCAAUGGAAUUCCAUGUGUAGCGGUAAAAUGCGUAGAUAUAUGGAGGAACACCAGUGGCGAAGGCGGUUGCCUGGCCUGUAACUGACGCUGAGGCUCGAAAGCGUGGGGAGCAAAUAGGAUUAGAUACCCUGGUAGUCC
rnacentral:rRNA from 1 species